rnacentral:lncRNA from 1 species
UGUUCUCUCACUUGUGACUGUGAACAAUUCCGAAUCUCGCCCAUUUGAAGGGAAAUUAUACCAACUUCACGGAGGGCUGACAGAAUGGAAAUGAAAUCUAGGAAAUUGUGGCUAUAAUUCUAGUGAGAUUACUUUCUUUUAACUGCUAUUUAUUUAGCCUCUACUAUAUGCUAAACACAUGAAACGUAGAUGAUGUUGGAUUUUAAUCCAAGUGUGAAUAUUUAAAAUGAAACACCAUAAAAUACACCAAAGCAUGGAUGUUAAUUUACUGUCGGCAUUUCCAUGGAGGAAAGGCUUUGUGAAAGAAGGAAAUCCACAGGAAAAGCAGCAAGACCAUAACUUUUCAAUGGCCCUGAGACCCAGCUGCCUGCUUUCAUAUCACAUGCCAGCCCCAUGAAGAUGUCCUGGAAGCUCACUGGAGCUUUUCAACUAGCAAGGCAUGGGAAAGGAAAUCAAUGCCCCUACUCACCUUUGGAAGAAUUUCACUACCAAGUCUCCGUGGUUCUAUGGGAUCCAAUAAUCCUUGGCUCAGUAUUGAU